rnacentral:tRNA from 1 species
GCCGGUGUGGCGGAAUGGCAGACGCGGCAGACUCAAAAUCUGCUAUCUGAAAGGAUGUGGGGGUUCGAGUCCCUUCGCCGGCACCA